ensembl:processed_transcript
GACGUACAGUCGAUAACUAUAAACAUAGUUUGAGAGCAGUUAGUGUGUAUGUUAGAUAAAGGUGGUUUCAAAGCACCUUUAUAUAUUACAAAUAACAGCAUGUUUAAACGCUUUUCGUUACAAACCAGCAGCCCGAUGUCCGCAGAAGCUCAGCCGAGGGUGAGUGACUCUGCACGGGCAGCUGCAGGAAAGACCACCCGCUCAACAGGAUUGGAGGCUUCUCCUACAGCAGCAGCUAUGGAGAACAGCCCAACUGAUAAACAAGCAAAAAGGUGGAAGAAAGGGAUCCGUGCAUUCUUUCGGCGAAUAGGGAAGGGGCUCAAGCGUUGCACCCUCUGUUGGCCUGGAGAGAACAUGUUGAUCCCAUUUCCAUGCAGCGAUCCCAAUGAACCCCAGCCAGAAUUAUCUGGCCUCCAAUGGGCAUUAUCAAUCGAUCCGUGC